AGUUUCCUCAUCUGUAAGAAAUAGCUGGAGAAGGAAAUGGUAAGCCACUGCAGUAUCUUUGCCAAGGAAACCCCAGCUGGGAUUGUAAAGAUUCAGACCCAACUCAAAAACAACUGAACAACAAUAGUAAAAAAGUUCCUAUUCUAUGGCUCAGAUUAAGAGAAAAGCCGAGUCUCGAGACUACUGCACGAAUGGUGAAAAUGACAUUAGAUGAAGAUGAAGAUGUUGGGGAUGGUGUUCAGACAGAGAUGGUCCUAGGACAAGUCUCCCCUCCGGAGGUCCCCCAGAGUGGCGGGAUGAUCACUUUUUGGCUACAUUAUGGGAGGAUUCCUUCAAUGUGGACACUGGACUACAUGGGGGCUGAGCUAGGUCCCUUCCAGCUCUGAUGUUAUGGGAUGUCCCCAUCCUGCCAUCAUUCUUUCAUAAUUAACAUUCCCCAGACCUUUCUGUAGGUGACUAAAAGGAUAGCGGCUGGCCGGGAGUGAGGUGUUGCACGGCUCCUGGUUCUUUCUCACAUAGUCUAUAGGAAUCACAAAGUCUGAGGUCCUCCUUAAGGGUAGCCCUUCUGUCUACGUCUGACGGCAAUGACCUGGUCUUGAAUUGCCACCAUAAAUCUGCACAAACAAAGCUGAAUGAUUUAGUCAUUUAUAUGCUUCUCUGUGAACAUGCUGUUAAAGCUGAAUCCAUGUGGAUGUCCCCACAGACAGUCUUUUGAUUCCAUUCUUGGGUCACGGCCAUUUGGUGGGUUCCAUCCAGAAAUAAACCAUUUUCACUUAUA